CCAAUCAAUCAAGUGGUUGUACUCCUUAAAUGCAAAAAAAAAACAUAAUUGUUUUUCAUACCUAAUCCUUCAAAAGAAAACAAAUAUACAUUUAUAGAAAUAAUCUCACUAUUUUCCAAUCCCGUUUAAGUUUAUUGAACACAGAACAUCCUUAAUACAAACUAUUAUCCAUUCGAUCAAUACAUACAGAUGUCAUCUCGCAUGCACUCCGCAUUGUCAUGUAAAUCUCGAGUCAUUGUUCAUACCGCAUACGUUUGCGGAAAUAGGAACUGUUUUGGUCGUAUCACUGAACCAAUAAUAUCGAUCACUUGACAAAGGAAAAUACCGAGAAACAGACUCGAACUAUAUCACAAAGCUUAGCAACUUCGAAGUUGACAUUUUAUAUAUACUAAUACUGUCUGUAUUGCAAUUAUAUGUAUAUAUUUAAUUUGAAAUACAGCGUCGAAAUGCUACCAGUGUUAAAGCUUUGCAGCAUACCUACAUCUGUGCGACGAAAUCUGUUACCUGGCGGCAUUCUAACGUGAACAGAUCACAAUAAAUAUUAUGGAAAUCA